GCAUAUCAAUAAGCGGAGGAAAAGAAACUAACUAGGAUUCCCUUAGUAACGGCGAGUGAACCGGGAUGAGCUCAAAUUUAAAAUCUGGCGUCUUUCAGGCGUCCGAGUUGUAAUCUAUAGAGGCGUUUUCCGCGCCGGACCGCGUCCAAGUCUCUUGGAAUAGAGUAUCAAAGAGGGUGACAAUCCCGUACUUGACGCGACAACCGGUGCUCUGUGAUACGUUCUCAAUGAGUCGAGUUGUUUGGGAAUGCAGCUCUAAAUGGGUGGUAAAUUCCAUCUAAGGCUAAAUAUUGGCGAGAGACCGAUAGCGAACAAGUACCGUGAGGGAAAGAUGAAAAGCACUUUGGAAAGAGAGUUAAACAGCACGUGAAAUUGUUAAAAGGGAAACGAUUGAAGUCAGUCGUGUGAAAGGUAUUCAGCCGUCUCUGGCGGUGUAUUUGCCUUUCACGGGUCAACAUCAGUUUGAUCCGGUAGAAAAAGGCAGGAGGAAGGUGGCACCCUCGGGUGUGUUAUAGCCUCUUGUCAUAUGUGCCGGACCAGACUGAGGAACGCAGCUUGCCGCAAGGCCGGGGUUCGCCCACGUACAAGCUUAGGAUGCUUUAAACGACCCGUCUUGAAAC
rnacentral:rRNA from 1 species